rnacentral:rRNA from 1 species
AUGAACGCUGGCGGCGUGCCUCAUCCCUGCCAGUCGAGCGAACGGACGAGAAGCUUGCUUCUCUGAUGUUAGCGGCGGACGGGUGAGUAACACGUGGAUAACCUACCUAUAAGACUGGGAUAACUUCGGGAAACCGGAGCUAAUACCGGAUAAUAUUUUGAACCGCAUGGUUCAAAAGUGAAAGGCGGUCUUGCUGUCACUUAUAGAUGGAUCCGCGCUGCAUUAGCUAGUUGGUAAGGUAACGGCUUACCAAGGCAACGAUGCAUAGCCGACCCGAGAGGGUGAUCGGCCACACUGGAACUGAGACACGGUCCAGACUCCUACGGGAGGCAGCAGUAGGGAAUCUUCCGCAAUGGGCGAAAGCCUGACGGAGCAACGCCGCGUGAGUGAUGAAGGUCUUCGGAUCGUAAAACUCUGUUAUUAGGGAAGAACAUAUGUGUAAGUAACUGUGCACAUCUUGACGGUACCUAAUCAGAAAGCCACGGCUAACUACGUG